UUUGUUAAUCUUUUGGAUAAUUCUAUAUCUUAGUAGUUAAUAUUCAUUUUUGUUAGUUUUCUGAUUUAGUUUCUAAUUAAAAAGUUAGAUUUCUUAAGAUAAUGAUUGAUGUUUGCCCUAAUUUUAAAGCUAUAUAUAUAGUUAUCGGCCAGAGAAUUAGGUAUUGUUUUUUUCCUGUGCUCAUUAGAUAGUUUCACCGUUAUGGUUUUUUUAUAUAGCUACUACGAUUCUGAUGAAUCGAAUUGUUUGUCAUGCAUAUAUUGUUUUCAUGGUCCUUUAAAGAUUUGUAGAACGUGGGAGGUUCCAUCGACAAAGCUUUCGGACGAAGGUGGUGUUGAUGAGAACAUAACGAGGUUUGGAAAGUAAAUCUUCAUCUUCAACAAUGAAAAGGAGGAAUAAGGUAAUCUUUUACAUUAAUCGUUUUCUUAUAAUUCUAUUAGUUUGUAGAUUAUGUUGUUAUUUGUAUUCUGGUUUCUAUUGGUCGGUUGUUUUCUUUAAUAAAACUAAUAUCCAAAAAAAAUUAUGAAUUCUGGUUUCUAUUGGU